AAUUGUGCACGUCCCCUUUAAGAGUUUGUUAGUAAUACACUGUCUAAAAACGUGGCUUUGCCCAGCAGGUUAGUUCAUUUCUUUCUGAUUGGCCCUUGUCCUUCUUAUUCCCGCCUCUGCAGGUAUACUGAGAAUUAUGAUUGGAUGAAGGGGUGGAGUUUAGAGCUGCAGAUCGGUGUGAGAGUUUAGUUAACGAUGUGACUGGGAGGAAUUCAUGGACCAGUUGGGACUUACCUCGGACGGGCUUUGGAGUAUCGUUGCUAUGGUGAUAAAGGAUCGGUUCGGUAGAGGAGGGACUACAGAAAGAUCUACAGCUUCAGAGGAGGGAAUUUGGUGUUCCAGCCGCCUGGGAAGCCGUUCAGAAUGAUGGAGGGAAAGAGAUCAGACUCACCAGAACCCAGCUAUGUGUCCAUGAAGAGUGAAGCGUCAAUGGGACGUCCAAUUACCUUCAGAGACAGAGACAGUUCUACUGAUGUGAAACCACAAAAAUCAAACAUCAGCACAAAUCAGCUGGACUCUAUAUUCAAGG